rnacentral:rRNA from 1 species
AGAGUUUGAUCAUGGCUCAGAUUGAACGCUGGCGGCAGGCCUAACACAUGCAAGUCGAACGGUAACAUUUCUAGCUUGCUAGAAGAUGACGAGUGGCGGACGGGUGAGUAAUGCUUGGGAGCUUGCCUUUGCGAGGGGGAUAACAGUUGGAAACGACUGCUAAUACCGCAUAACGUCUACGGACCAAACGGGGCUUAGGCUCCGGCGCAAAGAGAGGCCCAAGUGAGAUUAGCUAGUUGGUAAGGUAAUGGCUUACCAAGGCAACGAUCUCUAGCUGUUCUGAGAGGAAGAUCAGCCACACUGGAACUGAGACACGGUCCAGACUCCUACGGGAGGCAGCAGUGGGGAAUAUUGCACAAUGGGGGAAACCCUGAUGCAGCCAUGCCGCGUGUGUGAAGAAGGCCUUCGGGUUGUAAAGCACUUUCAGUUGUGAGGAAAAGUUAGUCGUUAAUACCUGCUAGCCGUGACGUUAACAACAGAAGAAGCACCGGCUAACUCCGUGCCAGCAGCCGCGGUAAUACGGAGGGUGCGAGCGUUAAUCGGGAUUACUGGGCGUAAAGCGCACGCAGGCGGUUUGUUAAGCUAGAUGUGAAAGCCCCGGGCUCAACCUGGGAUAGUCAUUUAGAACUGGCAGACUAGAGUCUUGGAGAGGGGAGUGGAAUUCCAGGUGUAGCGGUGAAAUGCGUAGAUAUCUGGAGGAACAUCAGUGGCGAA